UCUUUCCAAACCCUUAAACCUAAUGCAAGGCGUACAAGAACAAAUUGCUUCCCAUUCAUAAGGUAAUCCUUAGUGUUCUUCUAUAUUCCGAUCUUAUGUGCUGGGGGUAAUGGGAAGUGCUGUAUAAAGGUUUGCAGAAGAUUAUGAUUAACUGGGACGGGAGGUUCUAACUGCUAAAUGAUAGAUUGUUCCUGAGCUUGGUUGAUAUAAAAGGUUGAAUCACAGAUUGAGUUCCCAGAUUCGCACCAUCCGUUCCAAGUGCUGGUGAAGGUGGUAGUCAAGGAAAUUUUUGGUGAUGUUGUCUAUCGAUCAGAUGCACUAUCAUGGUUUCUGCUGAAGUAGAUAAACUCCGGUGAUGAGGUUGUUUUGAUAUUCAGAGAAACAACUGGUGGCAGUGAAGGUGGACCUGGUGAAUAAUGGUGAUAAGAAGAUGCGUAUCUUUACUCCAAAGAUUACUUUUGAGUAAAAUCACCUAGCGUCACACUAUACUACCUACCACUGAUCAGAGGCAAGACUUCUCAAGAGCUAGAGUAAGAGGAUUUGGAAAGAUAAAAAUUCAAGUCUAGGCCAUAUUAAAAUGAAAAGGAGAAAAAAUUUGUGGAUGAAAUUUUUGCUGAAGCAGUAUCAAGAAGGAAGAGCAAGGAUUCUUAAGGCUACUCCAUUCCCGUAUAUCGCAUACUACCCAGUGGCGAAGAAUCGGCUAAACAGACUGCCAAUAAGAAAAGGAGAAAAAAUUUGUGGAUGAAAUUUUUGCUGAAGCAGUAUCAAGAAGGAAGAGCAAGGAUUCUUAAGGCUACUCCAUUCCCGUAUAUCACAUACUACCCAGUGGCGAAGAAUCAGCUAAACAGACUGCCAAUAAGGUGGUAUAGGGAGCAGGCGGAUAGUCCCCGAAACACAGGUAAAAGCACCAUAUCCCCGGAACUGCGUUCUCCUUCGUA